AUCCCAGGAGCUUGCUCCUGGGUGAGAGUGGCGAACGGGUGAGUAAUGCGUGACCGACCUGCCCCAUACACCGGAAUAGCUCCUGGAAACGGGUGGUAAUGCCGGAUGCUCCAGUUGACCGCAUGGUCCUCUGGGAAAGCUUUUGCGGUAUGGGAUGGGGUCGCGUCCUAUCAGCUUGAUGGCGGGGUAACGGCCCACCAUGGCUUCGACGGGUAGCCGGCCUGAGAGGGCGACCGGCCACAUUGGGACUGAGAUACGGCCCAGACUCCUACGGGAGGCAGCAGUGGGGAAUAUUGCACAAUGGGCGCAAGCCUGAUGCAGCGACGCCGCGUGCGGGAUGACGGCCUUCGGGUUGUAAACCGCUUUUGACUGGGAGCAAGCCCUUCGGGGUGAGUGUACCUUUCGAAUAAGCACCGGCUAACUACGUGCCAGCAGCCGCGGUAAUACGUAGGGUGCAAGCGUUAUCCGGAAUUAUUGGGCGUAAAGGGCUCGUAGGCGGUUCGUCGCGUCCGGUGUGAAAGUCCAUCGCUUAACGGUGGAUCCGCGCCGGGUACGGGCGGGCUUGAGUGCGGUAGGGGAGACUGGAAUUCCCGGUGUAACGGUGGAAUGUGUAGAUAUCGGGAAGAACACCAAUGGCGAAGGCAGGUCUCUGGGCCGUCACUGACGCUGANGAGCGAAAGCGUGNGGAGCGAACAGGAUUAGAUACCCUGGUAGUCCACGCCGUAAACGGUGGAUGCUGGAUGUGGGGACCAUUCCACGGUCUCCGUGUCGGANCCAACGCGUUAAGCAUCCCGCCUGGGGAGUACGGCCGCAAGGCUAAAACUCAAAGAAAUUGACGGGGGCCCGCACAAGCGGCGGA
rnacentral:rRNA from 1 species